UGCUCCUGCCCCAGGAGGAGGCCCAGCACACAGAGGGGAAGGACAGCAGAGCUCACACAUCAGACAGCAGUGCUUGUGGGUGUUUCUGGAGUGGAAACUCUUCUCACAGAGGCAGGGAUGAAGCAGACUGAAGACACCAUGGAGCCCUCCUCAGCCCCUGCCCACAGAGGGCACGUCCUCUGGCAGAGGGUCCUGCUGGCAGUCUCACUCUUAACCUUCUGGAACCUGCCCACUACUACCCCACUCACUACUGAAUCAGUGCCCAUCAACGCUGCAGAAGGGACGGAUGUUCUUCUACUUGUCUACAAUGUGACACAGAAUAUUCAAGGCUAUGGCUGGUUCAGAGGAGAAAAAGUAGAAAACAGCCAACAAAUUGCAUCAUAUAUAGUAAGCUCUCAAGCAAAUGUACCAGGGCCUGCAUACAGCGGCCGAGAGACGAUAUACGCCAAUGGGUCUCUGCUGUUCCAGAAUGUCUUUCAGAACGACACAGGAUACUACACUAUACUUGUUACAACGGAUAAGUUUAUCUCUGAAGCAGCAUCUGGACAACUCCGAGUAUUCCCGAAGUUACCCACACCCAUCAUCACCAGCAACAACUCGAACCCCCUGGAGCACGAGGACACGGUAGUGUUAACAUGUGAACCUGAGACUCAGAACACCACCUACAUGUGGUGGAUCAACAAUCAGAGCCUCCCUGACAGCACCAGGCUGGAACUGUCCAAGGACAACAGAACUCUCACUUUACUCCAUGUCACAAGGAAUGACACUGGACCUUAUGUGUGUGAAACCCAGAACCCAGUGAGUGCCGGCCGCAGUGACCCAUUCACCCUGAAUGUCCUCUACCCAGUGGCACAGCCCUCCAUCCAAGCCAGCAACACCACUGUCACAGAAUAUGAGGAUACCGUGUUCCUGACCUGUCUUACAAAUGACACUGGGAUCUCCAUCUCCUGGCUCUUCAAUGGCCAGAGUCUAUUGCUCACAGAGAGGAUGAAGCUGUCCCAGGGCAACAGCACCCUCACCAUACACCCUGUCAGGAGGGGGGAUGCCGGGAAUUAUCAGUGCCAGGUCUCCAACCUGGGCUAUUCCAGCAAGAGUGACGUCCUCAGCCUGGAAGUGAAAUAUGAUUCAACACAAGGAAGUUCUUCUGGCCUCUCAGAUGGUGCUAUUGCCGGCAUCGUGAUUGGAGCUGUGGCUGGGGUAGCUCUGAUAGCAGCCAUGGUGUAUUUUCUGUAUGUCAGAAAUACUGGAAGGUAUGAUGCCUUUCCUCUCGUUCCACUUUCUCCAAGGCUAACUGCCACGCUUGGGAGAGGGAAGGAGACUUCAUCUCUGUGUCUGGCCUGGAUCGGCUCCUCAUUCUUCCUAAAGCUCUGCUUCCCAGCACUAAUUCCUGCGGGUCUCUUCUUCCCUGGUGGUCAUGCUUCCCCUACCCUACUCUCUCUCGGACAUGGUUAUUCCCAUCCCCAUCUGGUUUAGAGGGGUGAGAGCCAUUGUGUUCUUCUGUCUCCAGUCAGGGAAGCCAAGAUCCAAUAAGGAAAACUAAUGAGGAAAUGAAAGGAGAAGCGGGAGGAAGGGAGUCACAUGCCCAGUGGACAAUAGUAGCAGGAGGGGACUGGGGGAUAGGACAGGAAGAGAACCUAAGAAAAGCAGACACAACGAAAGGCCUCUUAGGCAAUAAAUAAAGUGAGAAAUAACCAGCAUCUUCCUACAAAAGGGGAAAGGUGUCAGGGUAGAAACAGGCUCAGAAACAGUUGUAUAGGUCACCCAAAACGUGAAGGGCCAGCAAACAGGGAACAAGUAAACACUAGCAGGGAUCAUACAUAGAUUGAAGAAGGAGGGCCUGAGAGGAAAGAGUACUGACCAAGGAAUAAAUGAACACUGAGGAGCCCCAAGGGAUCAUGCUGACAGUGUCCUUCCUAAUUCAAGGAGCAAAGAUCCUAUGCCUGGGAAUAACAGCAUCUGGUAUUUAUUUAGGGCAAGUGACCAGCAUGAUCUCACACAGCACAAAUCCUCAGACUCCAACCACAGUAAGUAAACCCACUUACCCAGUGAGAGCUGGUAUGUUCUACCAUGUGCCCUGCCCUAGCAGGGAAUCCUGGAUUUCCAAAUGAUCCGUACCUUCUGAAUUUUCAGAGGGUAUCUCCAUGUCCCAACCUUAAGUUGACAUAGAUCCUCGCACCCUUCCUACUGCAAAAGCUUCCCCUGAGACACAGCACCGGAAGAGAAACUCACUCCCCCUAGGCCAGGCAAGCCAGCAGGCCAUGAGCUGGUCAUGUUUCCAGGAGCCAUUUCUUCAUCCUUAAUCCUACCCCCUCCGGACUCUUUUAUGGAUGUGGGCAUCUCCUUUGGUGAGAGUUUCCCUGCCUUUGGUGCUCUGGGUGCUGUCGGCCUCAAUGUCCCUCCCUGCCACUUGAUCCUGUUGCUGAGAAACGCCAGGGCAAAUCUCAGGCCUUGUGAACUUGAAGAAAUCUUCAGAAGUGAACUGAGGCCUUCUGCCCCUCCUUGGUCUAAUGCCCUGGGGUCUGGACCACAGGUUGAGGGAAGUGAAUUCCUUAAGUGAUCAUGGGCCACCUCCAUAGCCUACCCUCCCACCACCUGCCACCUCCUUUACCUGGAAGUCACAAUAGCUUAGGAACAUCACGUUCUGAGGAUUUAAGUCAGGUCUGCAUUUUCAUAGGUUGGUAACUCUCUUUUGCUUCCCCAGGUCAGGGACAUUCUGACAACUCACCCAGCAAGGUAAGCACAGCCAGUUUCACCAGCUCAUUUUCUCAUGGAAAUAUCUCUGUGUAGAAUGGGUUAUUCAUGAAGACAAUAUAAGAUCCACUCUGGGUCAAAGUUCCUCACUUCAGAACAAACAAAGAAGUAUUGGUUAAUUACUUCCACGGGUCUACAUCACUGCAAGAAUGUGGACUUGAAUCCUAGCCAUGACCUUGGAUUGACGAAGUUGCAUAUUCUUCCCUGAACUUCAAUGUCCAGGAAUCAAAGAAACCAACUUCAGCCUCUCCAUCCUUAACAGCCUCAGAAACGGUUUAUUCAGAAGUGAAAAAGAAGUGAUGCAACCAGUCCUGCUCUCUGUACUGCUGACUUAUUCCAAGCUCCUCCUCCCCAUCCCUAGGAGAUCCCUUUACCCUCAGGGAAAAUGGGAGGAGUGUCUUCCCCACCCUCCCUCCCUUAACCCCCUAAUGAGGCUCCUCCAGGCUGCCUGGUCACAGCCCCUUACUUCAGUUUUAAGAGAUGAAAAGGUACAUCCAGGAGGAGGUCUGCAGGAAACAGACCUUUGUCACUGAAAUUUGGCAAAGCAGACCUUGGGAGAGGUUGCCAGAACCUCUGCUCCUCCCCUUUUCCUGACCUAGACUGCUUUUAAACUUGCCUAUUCGGAACACAUUUAUCCCUUCCCACCUCUCCUGUCCCACUGGAGUCUAAUUUCAAUUUGCCAUAACCUGGAGAAUUAUGCACUGAAACACAUGUGCCAGAAAAGGAGAGAAAUAGCAAAAGGAAAAGCUCCUCCUAGCUCUCUGAAGUCCAGUGUGAACCCACCAUUCACAGGAAAAUACAAAUAUAACCAAUUCUGAACUGGGAAAUUCUAUACCUUCAUCCACUUUUAGGGUUGUCUACCUGCAGGACCAAGGCCUGAGCAACCUACUACUUAGCUAGAAUAACACCUAAACCCUUUGAAAGCCUGUCUUCAGAAAACCUACCAGAGCAUCUAGAAAACAACUUCUCAAAAGUCCAUAUGUGAUUCCUGAUGGAAAAAAACGCACAUACUGUUUUUAAUAACUUUAUGGGCUGUAUUCAAGAAAAUGCCCUUGGAGGGAGAGGUUAUCGCUUUAGAGGAAAAAUCAGCUCUUAACAGAGACAGUCUGCUGAGUUUGGGGAGAGGAAUCAGAUAGCUACCCUUCAGAGAUUAUCUAAAUAAUGGUUAAGGAAUGCACAACUUGGGGUAUUGGGGUUUUUUCCCUUCCUUCUGAGACAUUCCACCACUUUAAUUUUUGUAACUGCUUGUUUAUGUGAAAGGGGUUAUGUUUACUUAAUUUGCUGCAUAAGCCAAUCUGACUGCCUUAGGUGACAGAAGCCAUCAAAACCCCUCAAAUCCCUCUGCCCAGGAGCUCCUCAAGGCUUUUAUGUCAGGGGCUCCACAUAAAAAGAAGAAGAAGCAGUUUUCUACAUCAAUGGCUAGAAAUGGGUCUCACUCAGUUUCUAGGCAUCUCAGACCAAUCAUCAACACCAUUCUAUUCCAUGUUUCCACCUGUGCACAUUCCAUCUGUCUGCCCCACUCACCUUCUCAGGAAACCUGGGCCUCUGCUAAGGUGUGUUUGGUCCUUGAGAAGCAGGAGUGCCCUAAAGAGAACACUACCACUCAUGCUGUUGGCAUUGUUUACAACCUAGAAAGCAGCACUGGUGCUGAUCCUCCUUAGGACAUAAGGGGAGGAUUAUAACUCAGCCCUAGGCUUCUUGAAAGCGUCCGAAAUUUGUUUUCUCCCACAGGGUCUAUGAGACCCAAUGUGUCAGCAUAAAAAGGAAGGGCAGGAGAAGGAGAGGCACAUCUACUUCCCACUCAGCCUUCUUCUGCACAGAUGGAACCUCCUUGGGGCUGCUGAGAGAAGAGUUUUAUUCCACAUUCGUUACUUGAUCUCAUGCUGUGUCUAAGAGGCCCCCUCAAAGAGGGUUGGUUGGGAGCUCUCUGUACUCAGGUACCUCUUCAGGGUUUUCCAUCCCUGACACUCUGUAUAUAACUCCCCUCAUCCACCCUGUUCUGUUAUUUAAUUUUGCCUGGCUAAGGCUGCUUCUGAAUUAUUUGUAAAAUUUGCUCUAUAUUUAUAAUAAAAAUUAUAUACCAGACAUCAA